rnacentral:rRNA from 1 species
CAGCCGCCGCGGGAAUACCAGCACCUCGAGUGGUCAGGAGGUUUAUUGGGCCUAAAGCAUCCGUAGCCGGUUGCAUAAGUUUUCGGUUAAAUCUAUGCGCUUAACGUAUAGGCCGCCGAAAAUACUGUGCAGCUAGGGAGUGGGAGAGGUACACGGUACUCGAUAGGAAGGGGUAAAAUCCUUUGAUCUAUUGAUGACCACCUGUGGCGAAGGCGGUGUACCAGAACACGUUCGACGGUGAGGGAUGAAAGCUGGGGGAGCAAACCGGAUUAGAUACCCCGGUAGUCCCUGUCUCUUAUAC